rnacentral:tRNA from 1 species
GUGGUGGUUCACUGUUAGAAUCCUCACCUUCUACGUGGGAGAUUCAGGUUUGAUUCCUGGCCAAUGCA